CUGGGAGCUUGCCCACCUGAGGAGGCUUCUUCCGGCUGAAGGAGAGGCUGGGCCCUUGCCCUGAGAGAAUGCCCACUCUGCAGGGAGACCUUCCCCUCCUUCAGGAAGUUCCUUCUCUAACUUCAGGAAUAUCUAGAUACCUCCUCACUUCCCGUCUCCAGGUGGAUCCGGCCCUGGAUCUUAAGGAGCCAGUGGUUCUAGACCUCCUCUGUGGUCAAAGGACCUAGUCUCUUUAACAAGGACCUGGGAGCGCCGUCCCAUCAGGAGUGCCCGGCAAUCACAGCUGAGGAGGAGAGCUCCUCUCCCCUCAGCCACGAGGUGGACGAGAGCUCCAACACCUGGUCCUGCUGCAUCAGCGGGGGACUCGGGAAGAGUUGGGAUGCUGAGAGGAUCAGCUGACAAAGGAGGCUUCUCUGAGUUUGUGCUGGGAUCUGGCGGUGGCCUCCUUGCCCAAACCAGCCUGAUGGGUAGGGGGAUGGAUUGGCAGCGGAGGGCUGGGGGCAGCGAGGGCUGACAUCAUGAAGCUUGAUGCUGAAUUUGACACACUUCAAGCUGAACAUCUCUAUCUACUUACCCAGGAGUUUGGGGAUGUCUUGGACUCCAAAGCUGAUAUGGGAAUUUGGGAAAAAACCUCAAAGCUUUUUAGGGGAUAAGAAAAGAGUGUGAGAGUUUUACUUUGUUCAGAAAGGAGAAUUUAUGGAAGUAUAGCUCACGAUCUAUGACUUGCACCCCAAAACUGCCAGUCUACCAUGUGAGAUAUAAAACCAAUGGCCCUGGGGUGCGUUCUUCCUGCCCCUCAUCCAGGUGGUUGUGCCCCCAUCUUCACCCCUAACCAUUCUGCUUCCUUUCAUUCAGAGAAGGUCUGGGAAUAUGUUUGUGUGGGACUCACUUCCCCAAAAGCUCCAGUCGUCCCACAUCCUACAAGUGUGUUCCUGAACCUUCUACUUGCCCUUGUAACUCCCAGACUGCUAGCUUCUUCCCAUUCUGGCGAGGGUCAGUGCCUUCCACCUGCCUGGACUCCCGUAGCCCACCCUUCACUCUUUCCUCUUUGGCCCCUUCCAGAGGGGAAAAUCAACAGUAAUAAAAAGGAAAAUGGGUAAGGAAAUAACGCCCUGUCCCAAUGCCUGUGUCUGUCUGCAGUGCACUCUGUGGGUCAGAGAGACAGGACGGUUGCCAGAGAGCAGGUGGCUGGGGCUUCCUCCUCUAGGUCAAUUCCCUCUCCUGAUCCCCGUCUCCUAGCAAGACCCCGGCCAAUCGCAAGCUUGAUCCCCAAAUCAGGGGUGAUUAUCGCCCAUCACUACCUUGUCCGACCACCAGAGGGAGGUAGAGAGCAAAGCCUACCGCCCGCCUAGCACCAGGCGCCCCGCAGCCUCCCGCUUCAGCAUUAAGGGGCUUUUAAUUGAUCUAAAGAGUCCUCGCAUGUUAGUCUAACUUAAAUAUCCUCCAGCACAACUUAAACUCUGUCCCAGAGUCCCCCGAACAUAAGCCAGGACUCUGAGGAGGAGCCUCUGAACCCUAAGGCAGGGAUUACAGGUGUGAGCCACUGUGCCCAGCCUGGUUUGGGUUUAAGACUUAAAGAAGAGAUAUUUGGGAGCAUCCGUCAUAUUGAAUGAGACUUUAGGGACAGAAGUGGAGUAGUGACUUUUUAGGGAGUUUUAUAGAGUAUGGUAUGGUCUAAUCUUCCCCUUCGCCCCAUUCCCUCAAGAAAACCUCCAGUAAAAAUCAAAUUUACUCUU